GGAGUUAGCCGGUGCUUCUUCUGUGAGUGAUGUCCUUCCUGCCGGCUAUUAACCCGCAGGCCUUCUUCCUCACUGAAAGUGCUUUACAACCCGAAGGCCUUCUUCACACACGCGGCAUGGCUGGAUCAGGGUUGCCCCCAUUGUCCAAUAUUCCCCACUGAUGCCUCCCGUAGGAGUCUGGGCCGUGUCUCAGUCCCAGUGUGGCUGAUCAUCCUCUCAGACCAGCUACGGAUCGUCGCCUUGGUGAGCCGUUACCUCACCAACCAGCUAAUCCGACAUAGGCUCAUCCGAUAGCGCGAGGCCCGAAGGUCCCCCGCUUUCCCCCGUAGGGCGUAUGCGGUAUUAGCCUGGGUUUCCCCAGGUUAUCCCCCACUACCGGGCAGAUUCCUAUGCAUUACUCACCCGUCCGCCGCUCGCCACCAGGGAGCAAGCUCCCCGUGCUGCCGCUCGACUUGCAUGUGUUAGGCCUGCCGCCAGCGUUCAAUCUGAGCCANAGACAACAACUGACACAGCGGCGGCGCGACGACGGCGACUAG
rnacentral:rRNA from 1 species